rnacentral:lncRNA from 1 species
UUCAGGAAUAGAAGCUGGAUCAAGCUCAAAAGAUCCAUUCGGUACACCGUCUCUCUCUUCACCGGUCAUAGUAAAUGAAGGCACUUGGUGAGAGAACCGAAGCAAUUCAGUUGACUUGAUCUGGACAGGUUUAUUGCUGAUUCGACAAAAAAGGCUUACGAAGCCCUUCAACUUUCCCAGGUACAACACAGAGACACCCUUAUUUUCACUGAAAUUGGACAAGAUUUCAACAAAAUCAUACUCCAAAUCUCGGUUAGUGUGGUCAGUCUGAGAUUUCCAAUUGAUAUCCC